rnacentral:tRNA from 1 species
GCUCUCGUGGUGCAACUGGCAGACACAUCGGUUUUAAGCACCGUACAAGUGAUGGGUUCGACUCCCUCCGAGAGUACCA